rnacentral:rRNA from 1 species
UCCGGUUGAUCCUGCCGGAGGUCACCGCUAUUGGAAUUCGCUUAAGCCAUGCGAGUCGAGAGGGUUCGGCCCUCGGCACACUGCUCAGUAACACGUGGACAAUCUGCCCUCAGGUGGGGGAUAACCUCGAGAAAUUGAGAAUAAUACCCCAUAGGGCCUGUAUGCUGGAACGCUUCAGGUCUCAAAGCUGCGGCGCCUGAGGAUGAGUCUGCGGCUCAUCAGGUUGUAGUGAGUGUAACGGACUCACUAGCCGACAACGAGUACGGGCCUUGGAAGAGGUUGCCCGGAGAUGGACUCUGAGACACGAGUCCAGGCCCUACGGGGCGCAGCAGGCGCGAAAACUUCGCAAUGUGGGAAACCACGACGAGGGAAUUCCAAGUGCUCAUGGUUUUCCAUGGGCUGUUUUCCUGCCUAAAUAGCAGGGAGAGUAAGGGCUGGGUAAGACGGGUGCCAGCCGCCGCGGUAAUACCCGCAGCCCGAGUGGUGAUCGUUUUUAUUGGGCCUAAAGCGUCCGUAGCCGGUUUAGUAAAUCCUUGGGUAAAUCGGGCAGCUUAACUGUCCGAAUUCCGGGGAGACUGCUAAACUUGGGACUGGGAGAGGUCGGAGGUACUCCGGGGGUAGAGGUGAAAUUCUGUAAUCCCUGGGGGACCACCAGUGGCGAAGGCGUCCGACUUGAACGGGUCCGACGGUGAGGGACGAAGCCCUGGGGCACAAACCGGAUUAGAUACCCGGGUAGUCCAGGGUGUAAACGCUGCGGGCUUGGUGUUGGGGGUCCUACGUGGGCGCUCAGUGCCGGAGAGAAGUUGUUAAGCCCGCCGCCUGGGGAGUACGGUCGCAAGACUGAAACUUAAAGGAAUUGGCGGGGGAGCACCGCAACGGGUGGAGCGUGCGGUUUAAUUGGAUUCAACGCCGAAAAACUCACCGGGGGCGACUGUUAGAUGAAGGCCAGGCUGAUGACCUUACCUGAUUUUCAGAGAGGUGGUGCAUGGCCGCCGUCAGUUCGUACCGCAAGGCGUUCUGUUAAGUCAGAUAACGAACGAGAUCCCCGCCCUUAAUUGCCAUCCUGUCCUCCGGGACAGAGGAACAUUAAGGGGACCGCUGGCGCUAAGUCAGAGGAAGGUGGGGGCAACGGUAGGUCCGUAUGCCCCGAAUCCCCCGGGCAACACGCGCGCUACAAAGGACGGGACAAUGGGUCCCUACACCGAAAGGUGACGGUAAUCCCGAAACCCGUUCAUAGUCCGGAUUGAGGGCUGUAACCCGCUCUCAUGAAGUUGGAAUCCGUAGUAAUCGCGGGUCAACAUCCCGCGGUGAAUAUGCCCCUGCUCCUUGCACACACCGCCCGUCAAACCAUCUGAGUUGGGUUGAAGUGAGGGCACCUCAUUUUGUGGUGUUCGAACUUUGGUUCAGCAAGGAGGGUUAAGUCGUAACAAGGUA